rnacentral:rRNA from 1 species
GGUAGCGCAAUCACUUGUUUUUUAAAUAAAGACCUGUAUGAAUGGUGAAACGAGGGCUUAACUGUCUCCUUUUUCUGGUCAGUGAAAUUGAUCUGCCCGUGCAGAAGCGGACAUAAAUAUACAAGACGAGAAGACCCUUUGGAGCUUAAGACAUAUAGUCAAUUGUGUUAAAAAUUCCGGUCAAAAAAAUUAAACGAAACAAUAAAUGACUCUGCGUCUUCGGUUGGGGCGACCGCGGGGGAUAACAAAGCCCCCACGUAGAAUGGGAUAAUACCCUAAAACCAAGAGAGACACCUCUAAGUCACAGAACCUCUGACUAAAAGAUCCGGCACACGCCGAUCGACGAACCAAGUUACCCUAGGGAUAACAGCGCAAUCCCCUCCAAGAGCCCGUAUCAACAAGGGGGUUUACGACCUCGAUGUUGGAUCAGGACAUCCUAAUGGUGCAGCCGCUAUUAAGGGUUCGUUUGUUCAACGAUUAA